rnacentral:lncRNA from 1 species
UUGUAGCAAUUGUAUGGGAGGCAAAAAUGGAAGACUAAAACUGCUAUUUGACUGAGUAAGACAUAGGUGUGUCUUUCCAGGUACACUCUACACCAUUCUGCUCUGUGCUCUGAGAUACUGACUGUAUAGAACCUGCCAACAGAUUUCAUUUCUUUGGAUAGAAGUAUGCCUUUAUCUUUCAGAGAUGAAUUUUUCCCUCUGGUUUUUGGAGAAGUCAUUCCAGGGGAGGUCUUCAAGUUACACAAAUUUAAGACCAAGCUCAUACUUCGGGAUGAAUUGGUAAAAGGAGAAGCUGAGCCUGCUUAUCCACAAAGGAGGAAGUUCAGGAUAGAGAUUAGACCAAAGGACGAGAGAUGCUGAAACAACUGAGGAUGAAUGGACCAUUGUGCUAAAACUGGAAAAUGUGCAUCUAGGCUGAAAAUAGCAUAGGCAAUUACUACUUAUUGAAUAUUACCUAAAUCAUAACUCUCUCCAUUACACACCGUGCUUGCAUGAAUUUUCAAACACAGUUUACAUUUUAGCAUUCAUAGGAGUCACUGACAUGGCUAUGACAUAUCCUAAUUCACAUAAGCAUAUAAGUCUGUGAAUUUCUGAAGUGAAUGGAGAUUAAAUGAAACAACCCAACUUUUGAUUUCAAAGAAAAUGUAGCAGAAAAAAAUGACAAUGUGUUCCAAGUUUUCUGAAUAAUCCCUAUGAGGUAGAUACUGUCUCCAUUAUCUCUUUUAUUACAAGUGAGGGAGACUCAGAAAUGUUGUUAGCCAGACAAUUCUUUAAUUCCUGUAGAGAAAUAGAUUAAGAGUUCAAAAUUGGUUGAUUUUGGAACCUACUCAUGCCAAACUAGCUAUAUUGUUUUCCUCCCA